AGAGUUUGAUCAUGGCUCAGAACGUACGCUGGCGGCACGCCUAACACAUGCAAGUCGAACGAAGUAGCAAUACUUAGUGGCAGACGGGUGAGUAACAUGUGGGUAUCUGCCCUUUGGCCUGGAAUAACACGAGGAAACUUGUGCUAAUACCGGAUAAGUCUUUACGGAGAAAGCUUUAUGCACCAUUGGAUGAGCCCGCAUUUGAUUAGUUAGUUGGUGGGGUAAUGGCCUACCAAGACUUUGAUCAAUAGCUGAUUUGAGAGGAUGAUCAGCCACAUUGGGACUGAGACACGGCCCAAACUCCUACGGGAGGCAGCAGUGGGGAAUCUUGCACAAUGGAGGAAACUCUGAUGCAGCGAUGCCGCGUGAGUGAAGAAGGCCCUUGGGUUGUAAAGCUCUUUCGUCGGGGAAGAAAAUGACUGUACCCGAAUAAGAAGGUCCGGCUAACUUCGUGCCAGCAGCCGCGGUAAUACGAAGGGACCUAGCGUAGUUCGGAAUUACUGGGCUUAAAGAGUUCGUAGGUGGUUGAAAAAGUUGGUGGUGAAAUCCCAGAGCUUAACUCUGGAACUGCCAUCAAAACUUUUCAGCUGGAGUUUGAUAGAGGAAAGCAGAAUUUCUAGUGUAGAGGUGAAAUUCGUAGAUAUUAGAAAGAAUACCAAUUGCGAAGCAGCUUUCUGGAUCAUUACUGACACUGAGGAACGAAAGCAUGGGUAGCGAAGAGGAUUAGAUACCCUCGUAGUCCAUGCCGUAAACGAUGUGUGUUAGACGUUGGAAAUUUAUUUUCAGUGUCGCAGCGAAAGCGAUAAACACACCGCCUGGGGAGUACGACCGCAAGGUUAAAACUCAAAUGAAUUGACGGGGACCCGCACAAGUAGUGGAGCAUGUGGUUUAAUUCGAAGAUACGCGCAGAACCUUACCAACACUUGACAUGUUCGUCGCGACUUUAAGAGAUUAAAGUUUUCGGUUCGGCCGGACGAAACACAGGUGCUGCAUGGCUGUCGUCAGCUCGUGUCGUGAGAUGUUGGGUUAAGUCCCGCAACGAGCGCAACCCUCACUUUUAGUUGCCAUCAUUAAGUUGGGCACUCUGAAAGAACUGCCAGUGAUAAGCUGGAGGAAGGUGGGGAUGACGUCAAGUCCUCAUGGCCCUUACGUGUUGGGCUACACACGUGCUACAAUGGCAUUUACAAUAGGAGGCAAAACGGCGACGUUAAGCAAAUCCUAAAAAAAUGCCUCAGUUCGGAUUGUACUCUGCAACUCGAGUACAUGAAGCUGGAAUUACUAGUAAUCGCGGAUCAGCGCGCCGCGGUGAAUACGUUCCCGGGUCUUGUACACACCGCCCGUCACACCAUGGGAGUUGGUUCUACCUUAAGGCAAAGGUUAAAAACUUUGACCACGGUAUAGUCAGCGACUGGGGUGAAGUCGUAACAAGGUAGCCGUA
rnacentral:rRNA from 1 species